CAGUCGCCGCGGGAAUACGAAGGGGGCUAGCGUUGCUCGGAAUGACUGGGCGUAAAGCGCACGUAGGCGGCUUGGUAAGUUAGAGGUGAAAGCCUGGAGCUCAACUCCAGAAUUGCCUUUAAGACUGCCGAGCUAGCAGGUGAGAGAGGUAAGUGGAAUUCCGAGUGUAGAGGUGAAAUUCGUAGAUAUUCGGAAGAACACCAGUGGCGAAGGCGGCUUACUGGCUCAUACUGGACGCUGAGGUGCAAAAGCGUGGGGAGCAAACAGGAUUAGAUACCCCCGUAGUCCCUGUCUCUUAUAC
rnacentral:rRNA from 1 species